rnacentral:rRNA from 1 species
GCAACUCGCCUACAUGAAGUCGGAAUCGCUAGUAAUCGCGGAUCAGCACGCCGCGGUGAAUACGUUCCCGGGCCUUGUACACACCGCCCGUCACACCACGAGAGUUUGUAACACCCGAAGUCGGUGAGGUAACCAAUUUGGAGCCAGCCGCCUAAGGUGGGAUAGAUGAUUGGGGUGAAGUCGUAACAAGGUAAC